rnacentral:rRNA from 1 species
CUACGGGAGGCAGCAGUGAGGAAUAUUGGUCAAUGGGCGAAAGCCUGAACCAGCCAUCCCGCGUGUAGGAUGACAGCCCUAUGGGUUGUAAACUACUUUUAUACUCCACGAAACCUACGCUCGUGAGCGUAGCUGACGGUAGAGUAAGAAUAAGCAUCGGCUAACUCCGUGCCAGCAGCCGCGGUAAUACGGAGGAUGCAGGCGUUAUCCGGAUUUAUUGGGUUUAAAGGGUGCGUAGGCGGAAUUAUAAGUCAGUGGUGAAAUCCUACAGCUUAACUGUAGAACUGCCAUUGAUACUGUAAUGCUUGAGUAUAUUUGAGGUAGGCGGAACGUGUCAUGUAGCGGUGAAAUGCUUAGAUAUGACACAGAACACCAAUUGCGUAGGCAGCUUACUAAAUUAUUACUGACGCUGAGGCACGAAAGUGUGGGGAGCGAACAGGAUUAGAUACCCCAGUAGUC